GUUCGCACUCAUCGGGGAAGGGUGAGAACCUUCGACUAAGGUUCGAUUCGAGCGAAAGCGAGAGAACGUUGCCACAGGCAACGGCCCGAAG
rnacentral:sRNA from 1 species